GACGAACGCUGGCGGCGUGCCUAAUACAUGCAAGUUGAGCGCUGAAUGUUGGUACUUGUACCAACUUGAUGAGCAGCGAACGGGUGAGUAACGCGUGGGGAAUCUGCCUUUGAGCGGGGGACAACAUUUGGAAACGAAUGCUAAUACCUCAUAAAAACUUUAAACACAAGUUUUAAGUUUGAAAGAUGCAAUUGCAUCACUCAAAGAUGAUCCCGCGUUGUAUUAGCUAGUUGGUGAGGUAAAGGCUAACCAAGGCGAUGAUACAUAGCCGACCUGAGAGGGGGAUCGGCCACAUUGGGAAUGAGACACGGCCCAAACCCAUACGGGAGGCAGCAGUAGGGAAUCUUCGGCAAUGGACGAAAGUCUGACCGAGCAACGCCGCGUGAGUGAAGAAGGUUGUCGGAUCGUAAAACUCUGUUGGUAGAGAAGAACGUUGGUGAGAGUGGAAAGCUCAUCAAGUGACGGUAACUACCCAGAAAGGGACGGCUAACUACGUG
rnacentral:rRNA from 1 species